AGCGAGGCUAGAGUCACACCUUGGCGUUGUGUUGUUGUCCUGGUGUGCUAGAGCACUCGCAGAAUAACGUCUCUGCUUAUUCGUUGGCUGUCGUCUCCAGUGGUUCAGCCAAUCACCAGCUUAGACACACGA
ensembl:snoRNA